rnacentral:misc_RNA from 1 species
AAGUCGUAACAAGGUUUCCGUAGGUGAACCUGCGGAAGGAUCAUUAACCUUUCAAAUCAGGGUGCGUCGCGGCCCCGACGGAGGACGGAAGCAAACUAUCCCUUUGGGGAGGGUUUUGCGGGAGUCUUCGGACCCCUUAACGCACGCACGACUGCCAUCCUUACUUUACGAGCACCUUCUGUUCUCCCUCGGCGGGGCAACCUGCCGUUGGAACCGAAUAAACUCUUUUUGCAUCUAGCAUUACCUGUUCUGAAACAAACAAUCGUUACAA